UACGUAGGGUGCGAGCGUUAAUCGGAAUUACUGGGCGUAAAGCGUGCGCAGGCGGCGCGUUAAGACAGGUGUGAAAGCCCCGAGCUUAACUUGGGAAUUGCGCUUGUGACUGGCGUGCUGGAGUGUGGCAGAGGGGGGUGGAAUUCCGCGUGUAGCAGUGAAAUGCGUAGAGAUGCGGAGGAACACCGAUGGCGAAGGCAGCCCCCUGGGCUAACACUGACGCUCAGGCACGAAAGCGUGGGGAGCAAACAGG
rnacentral:rRNA from 1 species